rnacentral:antisense_RNA from 1 species
GUGUGUAGUCCGGCGUUCCAUCCUCAAAUCGAAAAGUUGUCUGUUCGCUUCUCAUCAAUGUUGACGGGGUAAACCCCUUUUCAAGGGCCGCAUAGUACAAAAUCGGUUUUAUUGUUGAUCCCGGUUGGCGAACUGCUUGAACAGCCCUGUUAAAAGGACUUUGUUUAUAAUUUCGCCCUCCGACCAUCGCCUGUACGUGCCCGUUUUUCGGAUUCAUUGAUACGAGGCCGACUUGAAUUUCUGAAUCUUUAGAAAUGAGUUUUUUGAUUGUUUCUUCUGCUAUUUUCUGCUGUUUCAGAUUAAGAGUCGUAUAGACCCUUAGGCCGCCC